rnacentral:rRNA from 1 species
CCCGCUGAACUUAAGCAUAUCAAUAAGCGGAGGAAAAGAAACCAACAGGGAUUGCCUCAGUAACGGCGAGUGAAGUGGCAACAGCUCAAAUUUGAAAUCUGGUCCCUUUCGGGGCUCGAGUUGUAAUUUGUAGAGGAUGCCUUCGGGUUUGGCCCUGGCCUAAGUUCCUUGGAACAGGACGUCACAGAGGGUGAGAAUCCCGUAUGUGGCUGGUGGUCUAUGCCCAUGUGAAGCUCCCUCGACGAGUCGAGUUGUUUGGGAAUGCAGCUCAAAAUGGGUGGUAAAUUCCAUCUAAAGCUAAAUAUUGGCGAGAGACCGAUAGCGAACAAGUACCGUGAGGGAAAGAUGAAAAGAACUUUGGAAAGAGAGUUAAACAGUACGUGAAAUUGCUGAAAGGGAAACGCUUGAAGUCAGUCGCGUCAUUCAGGGAUCAACCUUGCUUUUGCUUGGUGUACUUUCUGGUUGACGGGUCAGCAUCAAUUUUGACCAUUGGAAAAAGAUUAAGGGAAUGUGGCAUACAUAGUGAUGUGUUAUAGCCCUUGGUUGCAUACAAUGGUUGGGAUUGAGGAACUCAGCACGCCGCAAGGCCGGGUUUUUAUUAACCACGUACGUGCUUAGGAUGUUGGCAUAAUGGCUUUAAUCGACCCGUCUUGAAACACGG